rnacentral:rRNA from 1 species
GAUGAACGCUGGCGGCGUGCCUAAUACAUGCAAGUCGAGCGAACGGACGAGAAGCUUGCUUCUCUGAUGUUAGCGGCGGACGGGUGAGUAACACGUGGAUAACCUACCUAUAAGACUGGGAUAACUUCGGGAAACCGGAGCUAAUACCGGAUAAUAUUUUGAACCGCAUGGUUCAAAAGUGAAAGACGGUCUUGCUGUCACUUAUAGAUGGAUCCGCGCUGCAUUAGCUAGUUGGUAAGGUAACGGCUUACCAAGGCAACGAUGCAUAGCCGACCUGAGAGGGUGAUCGGCCACACUGGAACUGAGACACGGUCCAGACUCCUACGGGAGGCAGCAGUAGGGAAUCUUCCGCAAUGGGCGAAAGCCUGACGGAGCAACGCCGCGUGAGUGAUGAAGGUCUUCGGAUCGUAAAACUCUGUUAUUAGGGAAGAACAUAUGUGUAAGUAACUGUGCACAUCUUGACGGUACCUAAUCAGAAAGCCACGGCUAACUACGUGCCAGCAGCCGCGGUAAUACGUAGGUGGCAAGCGUUAUCCGGAAUUAUUGGGCGUAAAGCGCGCGUAGGCGGUUUUUUAAGUCUGAUGUGAAAGCCCACGGCUCAACCGUGGAGGGUCAUUGGAAACUGGAAAACUUGAGUGCAGAAGAGGAAAGUGGAAUUCCAUGUGUAGCGGUGAAAUGCGCAGAGAUAUGGAGGAACACCAGUGGCGAAGGCGACUUUCUGGUCUGUAACUGACGCUGAUGUGCGAAAGCGUGGGGAUCAAACAGGAUUAGAUACCCUGGUAGUCCACGCCGUAAACGAUGAGUGCUAAGUGUUAGGGGGUUUCCGCCCCUUAGUGCUGCAGCUAACGCAUUAAGCACUCCGCCUGGGGAGUACGACCGCAAGGUUGAAACUCAAAGGAAUUGACGGGGACCCGCACAAGCGGUGGAGCAUGUGGUUUAAUUCGAAGCAACGCGAAGAACCUUACCAAAUCUUGACAUCCUUUGACAACUCUAGAGAUAGAGCUUUCCCCUUCGGGGGACAAAGUGACAGGUGGUGCAUGGUUGUCGUCAGCUCGUGUCGUGAGAUGUUGGGUUAAGUCCCGCAACGAGCGCAACCCUUAAGCUUAGUUGCCAUCAUUAAGUUGGGCACUCUAAGUUGACUGCCGGUGACAAACCGGAGGAAGGUGGGGAUGACGUCAAAUCAUCAUGCCCCUUAUGAUUUGGGCUACACACGUGCUACAAUGGACAAUACAAAGGGCAGCGAAACCGUGAGGUCAAGCAAAUCCCAUAAAGUUGUUCUCAGUUCGGAUUGUAGUCUGCAACUCGACUACAUGAAGCUGGAAUCGCUAGUAACCGUAGAUCAGCAUGCUACGGUGAAUACGUUCCCGGGUCU